rnacentral:lncRNA from 1 species
CGUGCAGGAGUUAUGUAAGGAUGGUGGCAGAGCUGUUGGGCCUACUGCGCUGCUGUAGCCAUUGCCUCACGGCCUCUUCUGGCCAGGCAAUCUCUUCCUCAGGGAAUGUUAAAAACUGACAAUGUCCCAACGCCUCCCUUUCCCAAGAAAUAGUCCCUUGGUAUAACUGAAGCUGUGGUGGCUGUAGGCAGGGGAAGAAGAUGCUGCAAGCAUGAGGCUGGCCUGGAAGGAAUGGCCAUAGAGGGUCUUUUUUCUCAUCAACUACCCUCUUUCAAGGGGAGUGCAGUAGACUCUGGAAUGAAUUAUGAGGAAAUCCCAUAUCCUCCUAUAAAACAACAAAAAAGCCUGACGUCAAGGGGAAUGAUAAGGGAUCUUUGGUGAUUUGAGAACAAGUGGAACUUGGAGCCUUUUCCCCACACCACG